CCACUUCUCCAGCCGCCAAAAUAUACUUUCCGAAAACCGAAAAAAAAAACAUUGACGAGAGAAAGAAAACAUGAAAAAAUAGAAAAAAUGACUUCCCGAAAUCGCGUCAAAUUGAGAUCUUAACCGCCUCUCAUCCCAACCGACUCGCUUAACUUUUCUAUAAAUACACCGCCCAUCCGUCAAAUUCAUCACCUUUUAUUCGUUGCGUCGCUAUUUUAGGGUUUCUUGGAUUAUUUGUUAUUAUGCUGCUUGAUACUUUGAUCGUGAAGUUGUCAAUCGAAUUGUUGAAGUAUUAGAUAUUUGGAGUGAAUUUUGCAUAAGUUUUUGGAUUGAUUGUUAAUCUUGCAUGAUAUGUGAUCGGGUAGCUGUUUAUUCUUUUGCUGAAGUGUCGGGGAAUUCGAUUGGGAUAUGAUGUCGGUGAUCGAAUUAUGCAGAUGUUAGUUGAUUUUUUGAUGGUUUAGUUAUUGUUAAUUUGAGUGAAUUCUGAUUCUGAUGUUCGAAUGCUGCGAAUUUUAUCUGGUUUUUGAUGAUUCAUGAUCAAGAAGCUUGUUUAUUGAAUAUUCUAUCGCCUUCUGUUUUUUUAAUUCUCCAGAGUGUAUAGGUGACUUCUUUUUUUUGCAAUUUGCAGACUCAUCUCGUGUUCUUCAGCUUUUUUUUACUUAUUAUCUAGAUUUGUAGAAAUAUCUUUAGAUAUGCAGACUCCACUAAACAAGAUGUUAAUUGUCGUUUUUUGUUUUGUAUAUAUUUAUGGAUUAACUCUUGUUGCAAAGUGUUUGGGCGUUAUUUGAUGUUGGUGUCUGUAAAUUGUGUUCAUUGAAUCGCGGAAGUUCAUGAGCUCCCUUAGUUUCUUGGAUUUGGUUUGUUUCUUGGACUGAUCGAGUGACAAUUAUUUGGUAUACAGAACAUUGCUUUUGAAUGACAUGCUUGCUAUGGAAUGCCUUCUGGAAAUCUUAUACUAUGAUAUAACAUAACUUUGUUAGUGGUUACACUUUCAGACUUUCUCAAUCACCCCAGCAAAGCAUUCAGUUUGAUUCUCUCCUUCGGAAAGGGAGUGGGUUAUAGUUGAUUCACGGGUCUAUAUCGCUUGAAUUUUUUGUGCAUUAUUUUCUUUACAUAGUUGAUGGAUAUACAUUUAGCUUCAGCUUUCUCUACUAAAUAGUUACUUUUUUGUUUUGCCUAAAGUUGGUGACAUGUUUGUGCUGUAUGAAUCUGCUGUAGUUCCUAAGUAAGAUAAUUUAUGGUUUUGAAAAUUUUAUAUGGAGUGAGGUUGUUAGUUUAACUUAAUUAUAUUUGUCAGUUGGUUGACUAUCGCUCUUGAUUUCUUGUAUGCAUGAUGUUGAUGUUAAUUAUCUUAUUUCUUUGGCAAGAAAUGAGUGUUUGUCUCAUGCACGAUUUGAGUUCCUCAGUUUCUCUGUCCCUUUCAAUUUCCCACUAGCCAAGGUUUGGUUGUUUGAUCAGUCUCUAGUUUCUCGUAUGUUUUGGUUAAUGAUGGUGUCGGUGCCGUCGCGUGGUAGAAGGUGAACAAGCUGCUCUUGCGGCAUGUACUGUUUUGGCUUUCUGUUAUUGUAUAAAACAGGAAUCCUUCACUCUGUCAUAUUUUUUUGGGCUGGUUUAUGCAUGUGAUGAGUAUCUUUUUCUGAGUAUUGUGUGAGUUGGUUAAUUUUGGGAUGAGCUGAUGAUUUGUUGUUCAGAGUACUACUUGUGGGGUGCAAGCAGGAUAUUCAGGAGAGGUACUUUUGGAGCUGAGCCACUUGGAUCCUGGAUGUUAGACAAAAGGUUCAGGUUUUAUGUGGUAUCCAUGGACUGAUCGACAUGCAAAGGUUUAAUGGAUUACAGCUUAUAGGGCUCUACUACAUAUACAUAUAUAAAAUAUAUAUCUAUGUAUAUAUAUAUUAUACAUAUAUAUUAUACAUAUUAUACAUAUAUAUCUAUGUAUAUAUAUAUUAUAUAUAUAUAUAUAUAGGUUUAAGUUCAUAUGAGAACCACCUUAUGGCUGGAACCAUGAGAAUCCCUCAUUUUACGAAGUUUUUGAUCAUUUUAUAAUAUUUUUUGCUUAUUUUUUAUUUCACUUGUCUUCUGGUUUUGCUCAUUUAAUAAUUUGUAACGUUUUUGCUCAUUAUGCGUUUUGCUUAUUUUACUUUUUUUUCUCGUUCAACUUUUUCAUGCUCAUUUUACGUUUUUUUUUUCUCUUACAUUUUUGUUCAUUUUACGUUAAUUGUUCAUUUUACGUUUUUGAUAAUUUAAUGUUUUCUACUCAUUUUAAAUUUAUGCUCAUUUGUUACUUUUCUUUUGCUUAUUUUAGGAAGUUUUUGCUCAUUUUAACGUUUUUGCUCAUUUUAAGUGGUUUUUACGGUUUUCACCGUAAGAGAGUUCUCAUCCUUAAAACGAGCCAAAACUUCCUAAAAUGAGCAAAAACAAAAAAUGAGUAACAAUUGAGCUUAAACAUAAAAUGAGUGGAAAACAUUACAUUAUAAAAAUCGUAAAAUGAAUAAAUAUGUAAAAGAAAAAAAACGUCAAAUAGAGGAAAAAAAUUAAAAUUAGCUGAACGUAAAAUAAAUAAAACAUAAAAUGAGAAAAAACGUUCAUAAAAUGAGCAUAAAAUUGUUAAAUGAGCAAAACUAUAAAAUAAAUGAAACAAAAAAUGAGAAAAAAUAUUAUAAAAUGAUCAAACUUUUUGUAAAAUGAGGAAAAAUGAGUGGUU